rnacentral:lncRNA from 1 species
GUUUUCACUUUGCUCAUCCCAAUCCCCUUGUCUCCUAAGUGGAGAACUUCUUUUAAGAGCUUACCAUAGGAAUGAAGGCUGGCAGAGGAGUAAACUGAACAAGGAUGGCUGUCCAGGAGAAGAUCAGAGUCCUGGGAUAUGGAAGGUAGUAGAAGUGUUUGGUUUCCUGGAGGAGUUGCUUAUAAGGUGCUUAUGAGG